rnacentral:lncRNA from 1 species
AGCACGGGCGUACAUGCAUAUAUAUAUGAACAGAACUGACAAGACUUUAAAAAAAUUACCAGAAGCAUCCUUCUUAUCAAUUUCAUAGAUAAGUAUCUCAAUGUGAAAAAAUCUCCAGUCUACCCACUCCUUCUAUCUUAAAUCUCUCUGCUGUACUGUUAUAUGGGUAUACUUACUUAUAUGAUUUUUUGUCUAAUUGUUUAAAUGUAAA